rnacentral:rRNA from 1 species
GACGUAGGGGGCCAGCGUUGUUCGGAAUUACUGGGUGUAAAGGGUUCGUAGGCGGUGCGGCAAGUUGGGAGUGAAAUCUCUGGGCUUAACCCAGAGGCUGCUUCCAAAACUGCUGUGCUUGAGUGUGGGAGAGGCGCGUGGAAUUGCAGGUGUAGCGGUGAAAUGCGUAGAUAUCUGCAGGAACACCCGUGGCGAAAGCGGCGCGCUGGACCACUACUGACGCUGAGGAACGAAAGCUAGGGGAGCGAACGGG